CCUACGGGUGGCAGCAGUGAGGAAUAUUGGUCAAUGGACGAGAGUCUGAACCAGCCAAGUAGCGUGAAGGAUGACUGCCCUAUGGGUUGUAAACUUCUUUUAUAUGGGAAUAAAACGUUCCACGUGUGGGAUUUUGUAUGUACCAUAUGAAUAAGGAUCGGCUAACUCCGUGCCAGCAGCCGCGGUAAUACGGAGGAUCCGAGCGUUAUCCGGAUUUAUUGGGUUUAAAGGGAGCGUAGGUGGAUUGUUAAGUCAGUUGUGAAAGUUUGCGGCUCAACCGUAAAAUUGCAGUUGAAACUGGCAGUCUUGAGUACAGUAGAGGUGGGCGGAAUUCGUGGUGUAGCGGUGAAAUGCUUAGAUAUCACGAAGAACUCCGAGUGCGAAGGCAGUUCACUGGACUGCAACUGACACUGAGGCUCGAAAGUGUGGGUAUCAAACAGGAUUAGAUACCCUUGUAGUC
rnacentral:rRNA from 1 species